rnacentral:rRNA from 1 species
UACGAAGGGGGCUAGCGUUGCUCGGAAUUACUGGGCGUAAAGGGCGCGUAGGCGGCCUUCUAAGUCAGACGUGAAAUCCCCCGGCUUAACCUGGGAACUGCGUCUGAUACUGGGAGGCUUGAGUAUGGGAGAGGGAUGUAGAAUUCCAGGUGUAGCGGUGAAAUGCGUAGAUAUCAGGAGGAACACCGGUGGCGAAGGCGGUGGUCUGGGCCGGCACUGACGCUGAGGAGCGAAAGCGUGGGGAGCGAACAGG